GUUUUGAUUGGAUGGUCUUUUCAUGUAGAGGGGACGUCUCAAGUCGAAGUCACGAUUUCUGCUCAGUUUGGAACCAUCUGUGACUGGAGCCAUGACGCAGCCAGAGCACAUUACUCACUUUUACAGUCACGACUUGGAAAUCCGUGCAGUUUCCAACCAAAAUUACACCGCCACCAUUGAAUUAUUUAAUAGGAUCCAGUUAAGGGAUCCGCAACUGUCGCUGGGCUUGGAGUGAUAUAUAAAUAAGUCUGCGGCUAAAAGAGCCUCCCGCCCCCCCAAUCAGGAUUUGAAACAUCUUCUGAAUAAACCAGGAAGGCGCUGCCUUUUCCA
rnacentral:lncRNA from 1 species